GUAGGAGUGAGCCUGCUCGCGAUGACGGUGGAUCAGUCGAUGUGUUUAUUGGCUGAUACUCCGCCAUCGCGAGCAGGCUCACUCCUAC
rnacentral:antisense_RNA from 1 species